rnacentral:rRNA from 1 species
CAAUAGCGUAUAUUAAAGUUGUUGCAGUUAAAAAGCUCGUAGUUGGAUUUCUGGCAGGAGCGACCGGUCACACACUCUGUGUGUGAACUUGCGUUGUCUCUGGCCAUCCUUGGGAAGAUCCUGUUUGGCAUUAAGUUGUCGGGCAGGGGAUACCCAUCGUUUACUGUGAAAAAAUUAGAGUGUUUAAAGCAGGCUUAUGCCGUUGAAUAUAUUAGCAUGGAAUAAUAAGAUAGGACUUCGGAACUAUUUUGUUGGUUUGCGUUACGAAGUAAUGAUUAAUAGGGACAGUUGGGGGUAUUCGUAUUUCGUUGUCAGAGGUGAAAUUCUUGGAUUUCCGAAAGACGAACUACUGCGAAAACAUUUACCAAGGAUGUUUUCAUUAA